AUUGAACGCUGGCGGCAGGCCUAACACAUGUAAGUCGAGCGGAGGGGCGGACGGGUGAGUAAUGCCUAGGAAUCUGCCUGGUAGGGGGGGAUAACGUCCGGAAACGGGCGCUAAUACCGCAUACUAUCAGAUGAGACUAGGUCGGAGUAGCUAGUUGGUGGGGUAAAGGCCUACCAAGGCGACGAUCCGUAACUGGUCUGAGAGGAUGAUCAGUCACACUGGGACUGUGAACCGGUCCAGACUCCUCCGUGAGGCAGCAGUGGGGAAUAUUGGACAAUUGGCGAAAGCCUGAUCCAGCCAUGCCGCGUGUUUGAAGAAGGUCUUCGGAUUGUAAAGCACUUUGAUUAGGGAGGCGUUACCUAAAGAAUAAGCACCGGCUAACUUCGUGCCAGCAGCCGCGGUAAUUC
rnacentral:rRNA from 1 species